AAUGCCUAGGAAUCUGCCUGGUAGUGGGGGAUAACGUUCGGAAACGGACGCUAAUACCGCAUACGUCCUACGGGAGAAAGCAGGGGACCUUCGGGCCUUGCGCUAUCAGAUGAGCCUAGGUCGGAUUAGCUAGUUGGUGAGGUAAUGGCCCACCAAGGCGACGAUCCGUAACUGGUCUGAGAGGAUGAUCAGUCACACUGGAACUGAGACACGGUCCAGACUCCUACGGGAGGCAGCAGUGGGGAAUAUUGGACAAUGGGCGAAAGCCUGAUCCAGCCAUGCCGCGUGUGUGAAGAAGGUCUUCGGAUUGUAAAGCACUUUAAGUUGGGAGGAAGGGUUGUAGAUUAAUACUCUGCAAUUUUGACGUUACCGACAGAAUAAGCACCGGCUAACUCUGUGCCAGCAGCCGCGGUAAUACAGAGGGUGCAAGCGUUAAUCGGAAUUACUGGGCGUAAAGCGCGCGUAGGUGGUUUGUUAAGUUGGAUGUGAAAUCCCCGGGCUCAACCUGGGAACUGCAUUCAAAACUGACUGACUAGAGUAUGGUAGAGGGUGGUGGAAUUUCCUGUGUAGCGGUGAAAUGCGUAGAUAUAGGAAGG
rnacentral:rRNA from 1 species